rnacentral:rRNA from 1 species
AGUGGCGAACGGGUGAGGAACACGUGAAGAAUCUGCCCUCCACUUUGGGAUAACACCGGGAAACCGGUGCUAAUACCGAAUAUUGAAACAUAAGUGGCAUCACUGAGUUUUGAAAGAAUUUCGGUGGAGGAUGACUUUGCGGCCUAUCAGCUAGUUGGUGAGGUAAUGGCUCACCAAGACAGCGAUGGGUAGGGGCCCUGAGAGGGGGAUCCCCCACACUGGUACUGAGACACGGACCAGACUCC